rnacentral:rRNA from 1 species
AACGAACGCUGGCGGCAGGCCUCAUACAUGCAAGUCGAACGCCCCUUCGGGGGAGUGGCAGACGGGUGAGUAACACGUGGGAACCUACCCAAAGGUUCGGAAUAACUCAGGGAAACUUGAGCUAAUACCGGAUAAGCCUUACGAGGGAAAGAUUUAUCGCCUUUGGAUGGGCCCGCGGCAGAUUAGUUUGUUGGUGGGGUAAUGGCCUACCAAGACUACGAUCUGUAGCUGGUUUGAGAGGAUGAUCAGCCACACUGGGACUGAGACACGGCCCAGACUCCUACGGGAGGCAGCAGUAGGGAAUCUUGCACAAUGGGCGAAAGCCUGAUGCAGCCAUGCCGCGUGAGUGAAGAAGGCUCUAGGGUUGUAAAACUCUUUCAGCGGGGAAGAUAAUGACGGUACCCGCAGAAGAAGCCCCGGCUAACUCCG